UACGUAGGGUGCAAGCGUUAAUCGGAAUUAUUGGGCGUAAAGAGCGUGUAGGCGGUCCGGUAAGUCAGCUGUGAAAGUCAAGGGCUCAACCCUUGAAUGCCGGUUGAUACUGUCGGGCUAGAGUCCGGAAGAGGCGAGUGGAAUUCCCGGUGUAGCGGUGAAAUGCGCAGAUAUCGGGAGGAACGCCAAUGGCGAAGGCAGCUCGCUGGGACGGUACUGACGCUGAGACGCGAAAGCGUGGGGAGCAAACAGG
rnacentral:rRNA from 1 species